rnacentral:lncRNA from 1 species
AAAAUAACGGACAACUCACAAUCAUUAAAGGGUACCUUAAACAAUAAGGUGAAACUUCCUUUUAUUAGUAGGCGCACAACUAGCACCAACUGAUCAAAGGCAGGCCAGCAAUAGGGGCACACGCACAUCCCAGUUAGACAGGCUGGGAUCAUAAGAUACAACGAACCCAACAGAAAUGGCACCAAGCUAAAUGAUCACAUAAACGGUGACACUUUAAGCGUACGUACACAGCCGCUGCUCCUAGGAAUGGGAGGUAGUAGGGAUUUCAGACGCACGUCUAUGGUGUUGUCUUCUACAGUAGCACUCGUGCAGACAGCUUCUGUCUCUGAAAUUGCGGGAGAUCCAAGUUACAACUAUUGUCAUUCAACCGAAGGAGCCGGAAUGUGGAUGGAUUCUGACUGCUGAAUUGGCCGCCAUGCCUUACCUGCCUCAUGAUUCGGAGCGACAGGGAUGUCGUUUUUUUUACUUUUUCGGUAAAAGUGAAACGUUAUAUUUAUAAAUAAAAAAUAAUAUAGGACUAGAUCUGUUAUAUAUGUGUUUAUAUUGAUCUAACUGUCAUGACUGAAAAAUAAGCCAUGAUAAAAAAAGCCCGCAAAAUUAACUCUAAAUUUAAAGUUAAAAAUUUAAAUUUGUUGUAUAUGCGU